rnacentral:snRNA from 1 species
AUACUUACCUGGAUGGGGUCAAUGGGUGAUCAAGAAGGCCCAUGGCCUAGGAAGGUGACCUCCAUUGCACUUUGGAGGGGUGCCUUCCUAAGGUCUACCCAAGUGGUGGAGCCUACAUCAUAAUUUGUUGCUGUGGGGGCCUGCGUUCGCGCGGCCCCCUCCAAUCUUAUUUCAAAUUUUGUGUGAUCGUGGCCUAGGCUCUGAUAAAUAGCCAUUUGCUAGUUCAGAUCUAAUCCCAGCGUCUAAAUUAACAAGUUUUAUGGCAUACUGGCAAUGAAUCUUUAUGCAUUAGAGUAACCGUGGCG